UUGGCAUAAAGUAAGUUUAUCCAUGUUAAAAGAAGUUGCAUUGUUCACUCAGUUGAUUUAGUAUGUUUCUGCUAUGCUUUAUGAUUUGGGUUUUUUUUUUUACUCUUUAGGCAUCGCAGUGUCCGUCUUACAAUCUACAAUACUAUGAAGAAGCACCUUGGCAUCAAAGAUUUGGUGUUUAAUGAUCCCAUCGAUGGCCACAUCGAGUUGCACCCACUUGUUGUCAAAAACAUAGACACCCCUUAGUUCCAGAGACUACGAAACAUCAAGCAACUUGGGGGGUGUAUUUUGUUUAUCCAAGAGCAUCCCACAACCGCUUUGAACACUCUACUGGGGUGGGAUACUUAGCAGGAGAGCUUGCUAAAGCCCUCAAGGUGAAGCAGCCAGAACUUGAUAUCAGUGAACGAGAUGUCCUCUGUGUGCAAAUUGCAGGUCUUUGCCAUGACCUGGAAAAGAGAGGAACCGAAAAUGUCGGGGGUAAGAAUGAGAACAGCUCAUAAAACAAGAUUAACAAAACAAUAAUAAUACCUCACAUGUUAUUAUGCUUCACAAGAUGAAGGAAAGUUUUUAAUAAAAAACUGGUUGAAGACAUUCCUGAGGGCGGGAAAGACGAGUUUGUGGUUAUUGUUGUUCCAUUGGACUCUGAAGAAAGACAAUGACCCCAUCAGUAACAUUUUUCUAUCACAAGGAUAAGCCUGACAAAGCAAUCUCCGAAUCAGAGGUGAGAACUACAGCUUUUAUUUCCAUGUGUUGUGUGUUCUUUUUUUAUGCAGCUCCAUAAGACAACAUUGGCUGUGUAAUAUGUCAUUUUUAUGCUGCUGUCCUCGAUGUCAGGUGUCCAAGCUUCUCCCAGAGCACAUUUCUGACGAGAUACUUAGGGUUUACUGGAAGAACCAUGAAGGAGUGUAAGAAAAAGAGAGAAAAAAUAAAGAAAAAGAGGUCACAAAAUUCUUUAAAAGCUGGUGCAAGGACUAUGGCUUCAAAGUAUUACUUACCUAAUUUUGUCUAACUGCAUCGAUUGGUAUUACUACAUAAUAAGCCAAAAGAUCAUUGUGUAGGCAGGAAAGCUGCUGUUAAAAACUGUCUUAUCUUGUCACAUCCCUGAAUUCAGAUUACACUUCAUAACUCUGAUGUCUUGGUAUUAAUAAUAACCUUUAUUUAUAAAUAUAUAGAAUGCAAAAGAGGAUGGUGGCAAUGACAGUCGAACUCCAGUCGAUCUGAACAUGUGAAAGAUUCAGAUAUCACGUUUUUGUGUGACUGUAGGGAUUUUAAUAUAGUUGGUUUGAA